ACCUGGGCUGCAGUUUUUUUUUACGAACGGUUUUUCUUUUUUGAAUAGGCAGUUCGCACCGCUCUUGCCUAAAUUCAUCCCUGUAAAUUCCCUUCCAUCUCCUAGAUCCUUCUUCCAACUCUCACUGUAACCGUAAAUAGCCAUGGAGAGGCUAUUGAACAUCAGGAAUUUCCAUCGUCGGGGUCUCUGCCACCGUUCUUCACUGACUUUUGAAGAAAAAUGUGGCUAUUGAACAUCGAUAAUUUCCACAUUAGAUACACCCAGAUGGGUUUUUCGUGAAAUCGAUCAAAAAGAGAAUCUUGGUUUCGUCAAUUCAGUCUUCACUUUCACCGUUGAAACCACUCAAAACUGAAAGGAUGAGAUGAAGCAACCACCGACACCACAAGAACCAGAGACGAAGUAUCAUGAUCCUCCUCUUUGUUCAAAAUCUCCAAUAUUUUAUCCGAAAACCAUAACAAUCAAAAAAUCCCCUGAUCAUUCUCAAGAUAACAAAUGUUAUUCCAUGCUAAUAAUGGUUUUGAGGUAGGUGGUUGUUCGAUGAAGCACCCGAAACCUCACAUAAGGUUUGAUAAUUAGAAGUUUGAGUAUCAGGUGCAUCAUGGAUUUUUUAUUGCUUACAAUAAUACAAUUAUGCGUUCAAGAAUUCUUGAUGGUGUCAGUAGAGCAAAAGAGGCAUAUGGAGAUCUCUAAAUUAUGGUGACUGGCCAUUCAAUGGGAGGUGCUAUGGCGGCUUUUUGUGGAUUGGAUCUUGCGCUUAUUUAUGGAUCAAAGAACAUCCAAUUUACGACGUUUGGCAUGCCAAGAAUCGGCAAUGCUGCUUUUGCAUCGUAUUAUGGCCAAGUUGUCCCAAGUACGUUUAGAGUGACACAUGGACACGACCUCGUCCUGCAUCUGCCUCCUUAUUAUCAUCAUUUCCCACAGAAGAAAUAUCAUCACUUCCCAUCAGAGGCUAUCGGAUGGCUACUGACCGUGCUCUUAGAACAUUGCUCGAUUGGGUCAAAGAUAAUAAUAAUGAUGUGAGUUGUGAUUGUUGACAUCGGUUAUACCAACUCACCAUUUCAUAAUGUGAUUGUGCACAUAUAGUUUUAGUUUGGACCUUUCAAAAUUGAACAUAUUUAUUUCCAUUUUAAAGUUAAAACGCUCAGGGGCACAAAUUUGAAUAUAAGAGCAAUGCCAAAAUGGAGCAUGCCUGCUCAUCCUGUUUAGACACCCGGUGCGCUUCUAUGGGCAUGGUGGCGACAAGAGCUUAUCACUUUCAUGGCCUAAAUAUGAGAUUUUUAGCGUAUGACAUGGCGGAUAUGGAAGAAUCAGUGACUCCUGUAUUUACCUCCUUUCUCAAGUCUGGCGUUUGGGUUUUUCUUUUCAGUAGUGAUCAAGAUUCAAUCCUCCCUUUAAGUGGGACACGGGCGAGGGUCAAUGGCUUGGCUAAACAAUAAUGGUUGGCCACAACUAUGCCAUACAGGACUUGGUUUAGCGACAACAAGGUUAGUUCAGCUAUAUUGUUGAAAUUCAUGUUUUUCUUGAUUAAUAUUACAAAUAAUAUGUUGUUAGAAUUGGCAAAUAUGUUGAGUAGCGAGUCGGGUCUAAAAAUUUUUUAUAAACCAAAGUGAUUCAAAUAUUUCAAACCUUGUAAUGUUUUAUUGUUAA